rnacentral:rRNA from 1 species
CUGAUGCAGCCAUGCCGCGUGUGUGAAGAAGGCCUUCGGGUUGUAAAGCACUUUCAGUUGUGAGGAAAAGUUAGUAGUUAAUACCUGCUAGCCGUGACGUUAACAACAGAAGAAGCACCGGCUAACUCCGUGCCAGCAGCCGCGGUAAUACGGAGGGUGCGAGCGUUAAUCGGAAUUACUGGGCGUAAAGCGCACGCAGGCGGUUUGUUAAGCUAGAUGUGAAAGCCCCGGGCUCAACCUGGGAUGGUCAUUUAGAACUGGCAGACUAGAGUCUUGGAGAGGGGAGUGGAAUUCCAGGUGUAGCGGUGAAAUGCGUAGAUAUCUGGAGGAACAUCAGUGGCGAAGGCGACUCCCUGGCCAAAGACUGACGCUCAUGUGCGAAAGUGUGGGUAGCGAACAGGAUUAGAUACCCUGGUAGUCCACACCGUAAACGCUGUCUACUAGCUGUGUGUGUCUUUAAGACGUGCGUAGCGAAGCUAACGCGCUAAGUAGACCGCCUGGGGAGUACGGCCGCAAGGUUAAAACUCAAAUGA